GAUGAACGCUGGCGGCGUGCCUAAUACAUGCAAGUCGAGCGAACAGACGAGGAGCUUGCUCCUCUGACGUUAGCGGCGGACGGGUGAGUAACACGUGGAUAACCUACCUAUAAGACUGGGAUAACUUCGGGAAACCGGAGCUAAUACCGGAUAAUAUAUUUAGACCCGCGUGGUUCUAUAGAGAAAGGCGGUUUUUCUGUCUCUUAUAGAUGUAUCCGCGCCGCAUUAGCUAGUUGGUAAGGUAACGGCUUACCAAGGCAACGAUGCGUAGCCGACCUGAGAGGGUGAUCGGCCACACUGGAACUGAGACACGGUCCAGACUCCUACGGGAGGCAGCAGUAGGGAAUCUUCCGCAAAGGGCGAAAGCUUGACGGAGCAACGCCGCGUGAGUGAUGAAGGUCUUCGGAUCGUAAAACUCUGUUAUUAGGGAAGAACAAAUGUGUAAGUAACUAUGCACGUCUUGACGGUACCUAAUCAGAAAGCCACGGCUAACUACGUG
rnacentral:rRNA from 1 species